UACGUAGGUGGCAAGCGUUGUCCGGAUUUAUUGGGUUUAAAGGGUGCGUAGGCGGCUUUAUAAGUCAGUGCUGAAAUAUCCCGGCUUAACCGGGAGGGUGGCAUUGAUACUGCAGAGCUUGAGUGAAGUCGAGGUAGGCGGAAUUGACGGUGUAGCGGUGAAAUGCUUAGAUAUCGUCAAGAACACCGAUAGUGAAGACAGCUUACUAGACUUCAACUGACGCUGAGGCACGAAAGUGUGGGGAGCAAACAGG
rnacentral:rRNA from 1 species